AUAAUCAUAUUUAAUCAUACCUAUAAUCAUAUUCUAAGGCGACAAUGGGAAAUUUUCACAACUCGAGGGUCUAACCUACGAGCAAUCAUUCAACAAUUACGAAUAUUCCUUGUGUCGGGAGCAUCGUUUGCCAUUGUCCACUAUCGCGUAAAUCUUAUCUUAUUUCACCGUUCUGGAGGAGCAACUAGACGCUGUAAAGCUUGGUUGAAGCAAUUCUUGAAUCGUGCAUCGUGAACCAGCGUAUCAAUUUAGUCAGUCGAAGCACCACGAUGUAGCAGUGUAACUUUAAAAACGCACGUCCACCUUAUGACACGGUGUUCGUUUAAAUAUCGCCCAUAAGUACGCGCGUUUCGACUAUGUGCUUCGUGCUUUUAUUUCAAAAGCAGUUUCGCGCUUCCUGGGCAGUGGAUAUCUUCGUAGAGUCACCGUGGCGCCAAGGAAAUGCGCAUAGACGAUUUUUACGCGCGACGGGAUUACCUCGUUGAUGGUGCCAAAUAUCCGAAGCUCGGCUAAACAGUACACAACGGUUCGUUUCGCUUUACAACGCGUCGUAAAGCAGCCAGGAGCCAGCCUCGCGAUCCUCGAAGCCGAUCGAUCGUUUCCACGCUGCUGAGAACUUUUACGUAGUCAUCGAAGACGCAGGGUAGGUAAUCCAAGAUCGAGAGCGCCGACAGCCGAGCUUAUUCCGCGCAAUACCCAGGAACAAGAAGGUAUAAAGUUUGCAUUGAGAAUGAUAAGGAAUCGAUAUGAGUUUACAGAGGAACGAACCAGGUUUCCUAGCGCACCUGUUCGCGCACUGGUUUCUCCUUUUUCUAUCUUCAUCGUCGUUCCUCCUGUCGUCAGUUCUCCUUUCGAUCCGGAUCUCCUCGCCUCUGUCGUUCUUCCCUUUAACUUAAUGCUAUCAUCGAGGCUUUAUUCUGGAAAGGUUCGAGCGGUUCUGGUACCGAGCGUAAGCCGACCAACGUCUCUUAUAUUUCUUUCUCUUCUGCUUCCAUCGUUCUGUCGCUUUCUACUUCUCUUCUCUUCUCCCUUUUUUCCGUUCGUUCUCUUACUACUUCGCUCGGCUCGUCAGCGUUGUAGAUGACUUUCCAGAUAUCUUUCGAGAUAGUCGUUCUCUCGGGAGGAUAGGCUGCGACCGAAAGAUACUGCUAAGAAAUCGUUGGUGACAAGCCCAGUCUUACAGAAUUUUUUAAUCUUAAAAGAAAGAAAGAAAGUUCGACGCCUGCAUCUCUUGCUGAACUCUCCAGUCGGUCGUGGAAAGGAUCAGAUAAGAGAUAGAUGAAGGAAUAAUGGUUACAACGGUAAUCAACGCGCCCGUUACGGUGUGACUAAUGAAUGCGUAGGAGUUUCUAUCGACUGGGGAAAGAAGGAUGAAGUUCGUCGUCUUCUUGGCAGCAGAAUCACAUUACAAACAAAAAUUUAAAAAUUGUGUAAAACAAGUGCUAAGCGUCUACUACAGACAGUGGAGCGUAUAAGCGGGAGUCAUAAAAAAAUUCUAAUACAAUGUUUAAUAAAACGUUUUCCAUGAGACAA